rnacentral:rRNA from 1 species
AAGAGAGAGUUCAAGAGGACGUGAAAUCACUGGGAGAGAAGCGGACAGAGUCGACGAAACCGGCAGUAUUCAGGGCCGUGCGGUCGCCUGGCUACGUGUGGCACUCCUGUUAGGGAGUGUGCAUGUGGCUGUGGUGGCCGUGCGACCUGCACUUGCUGUCGGUAUGUGCCGAGAGGCUAGGUGGCCCCUUCUGAACGGCGUUGCGUUGCCCAGCCUCGGCUGGUGUCUUGUAGCGCGGGGAGGUCGGUGGCUGCUUGGUUUCCGCAUAGAGCGCCUAGCGUUUGCGCACUGCUCAGGUCGUCUUGCGGCGUACGUAGGCGGUGGCGUGCCACUUGUUUGCGUGCGUUGUAGGUUGGCAGGGGUGGUGCCUAGGCGUCGUCUCGGUAUGAAAGUCGAUCACCUAUCCGACCCGUCUUGAAACACGGACCAAGAAGUCUAGCAUGUGCGCGAGUCAUUGGGUGCAAAAACCUAAAGGCGUAAUGAAAGUAAAGGCUGGCUCGACUGGCUGAUAUGGGAUCCGUGCUCAUUCGUGAGUGCGGCGCACCAUAGCCCCAUCCUGUGUGCUUGCACUGGGGUGGAGGUAGAGCGUACAUGCUGGGACCCGAAAGAUGGUGAACUAUGCCUGAGCAGGAUGAAGCCAGAGGAAACUAUGGUAGAAGUCUGAAUCGGUUAGUAGCUGGAUCCUUAGCAUAGUAGCCGGUUCCUU